GGGGGCGCCGGAACCGGAUGUUCCCGGCGGUCUGCAAAACCGUUAGCCUGUCUGAGACCCAGACGGUGGGUGGGUUCGACUCCCACGCGCCCCCUCCA
rnacentral:tRNA from 1 species